UGCUUUGCGCAGUGGCAGUAUCGUAGCUGAUGAGGUUUACCCGAGGCGCGAUUAUUGCUUAUUGAAAACUUUUCCCAAAACUU